AAAAAUCAGUUGGAAAAAUUAGGUAAAUUAUUUGUCGCUAACUUUAAAAUUAAAUCCUUCUUAUUUCCAUGAUUUAAGUAUUUAAUCAUUAUUAUUAUUUAAAUUGACCAAAUUAUUAAAUCUCCUCUUCCCCAUUAAAUUUAAUUUUUUUUAUUUUCUCCUUACUUUUUUCUCUAUCCUCUACUUUUCUUCAUCAUUUCCAUCAACAAUCAUCUUCAACGAUCCACUACCUAGCUACCAUCAUCACCCCCAACUUCAAGUCACCAUUCUGCUACAUAGCUUUGAGGACGAAGUAGAGAACCGAAAUUAAAUUGCUGGAAUACUAUUUUAGUUACCUUAUUUUGCCAUAUAUUGAUAAUCUAUUUAGCAACCUUUUAUUUUUUUAAAAUCAUUAUUUAUCAUUUAUUUUAAUAUUUUUAUAUUUUAUAACUUCUUAAUCUUUUAAUACAGUUUAUGCUUUUUCAGUAAUUAUUUUCUUAAUCUUUAUAUUUUUAAAAUUUUUAAAAUAUUAAUAAUUCUUUAGAAAAAUUGAAUUUUUCUGAGUAAAAUUGUUACGUCAGUAUAAUAACAUUUCAGUCAACUGCUGUUAAUUACCACAUUGAUGUAAAUUUCUAGUCUAACGACUACAUUGAUGCAACUUUGUAAAGAGAUGAUUAAGCCUAAUUUCUUUUUGCAGACGCUGAAACUUGAUGGACAUGUCAUUUGGGUGUUUCCAGCAAAUAAUAAUUCAUCAGCUUAGAUGUUCAUGUUGAAUGCAGAGCAUCUAAUUUCGUGUUUUACCCCCCUUUUGAGGGCAUUUCAGGACCACCAUUUGUGAGCUUUUCAUUGAAGAGUCUAAAUCAGGGAAAAGGUGAUUGAAGGCCUGCCGUGGGUGAUGGUGGUGGAUCAGGCCACCACCGUAAGGCCUGCAGUGGUGGAGCAGACCAGAACCCUUUGCCCCAUUGUCUCUUUCUUUCAGUGAAAUUAACCAACACUUGGUACGUUCCAUGAGUUAUAAAUGGCAUUCAAUAGCCUAUCAACGCGGAGGGAUUCCUUGCUUUUACUGCUAUUUUAGCUUUGAGAUAAACAUCAUUUCACUUUCCGUAAUUUCAUUGGAAUCAUGAAAGAUUAUGCCACUGACACAAUUUGUGUUCUUAAGAGGGCCCUGCCUACUUCCUUGGACCAUUUUUUGAUAAGAAAACCCAAC
rnacentral:lncRNA from 1 species